rnacentral:rRNA from 1 species
CUACGUAGGGGGCGAGCGUUGUCCGGAAUGAUUGGGCGUAAAGGGCGCGUAGGCGGCCCGGUAAGUCUGGAGUGAAAGUCCUGUUUUUAAGAUGGGAAUUGCUUUGGAUACUGUCGGGCUUGAGUGCAGGAGAGGUAAGUGGAAUUCCCAGUGUAGCGGUGAAAUGCGUAGAGAUUGGGAGGAACACCAGUGGCGAAGGCGACUUACUGGACUGUAACUGACGCUGAGGCGCGAAAGUGUGGGGAGCAAACAGGAUUAGAUACCCUGGUAGUCCACACUGUAAACGAUGAAUGCUAGGUGUAAGAGGUAUCGACCCCUUUUGUGCCGGAGUCAACACAAUAAGCAUUCCGCCUGGGGAGUACGGCCGCAAGGUUGAAACUCAAAUGAAUUGACGGGG